AAGUUGGAUUCGCUAGUAAUCGCGCAUCAGCCAUGGCGCGGUGAAUACGUUCCCGGGCCUUGUACACACCGCCCGUCAAGCCAUGGGAGCCGGGGCGCCUGAAGUCCGGGACCGCGAGGACCGGCCUAGGGCGAAACUGGUAACUGGGCUAAGUCGUAACAAGGUACC
rnacentral:rRNA from 1 species